rnacentral:rRNA from 1 species
UACAGAGGGGGCAAGCGUUAUUCGGAAUUAUUGGGCGUAAAGGGCGCGUAGGCGGCUUUUCAAGUGACGGGUGAAAUCCCUCGGCUUAACCGAGGAACUGCCUGUCAGACUGGAAGGCUUGAGACCGGGAGAGGUGAGUGGAAUUCCCAGUGUAGCGGUGAAAUGCGUAGAUAUCAGGAGGAACACCGGUGGUGUAGACGGCUCUCUGGACCGUAACUGACGCUGAGACACGAAAGCGUGGGGAGCGAACAGG